GCUGGGCAUGAUGGCACACGCCUGUAAUCCCAGUGACUCAGGAGGCUGAGGCAGGAGGAUUGCAAGUUCAAAGCCAGCCUCAGCAAAAGUGAGGUGCUAAGCAACUUGGUGAGACCCUGUCUCUA
rnacentral:sRNA from 1 species